GUUACAUCACAGCCUGCAGUAGAAUCUUAGCACCACCCUACUGAGAAACACCAGCAGGCAGUCAGUGCCUUUCAGACAUCCUGUAUCUUCUGGAGGAGGAAAACACACAAGCACUGAGCAUUUCUGCCAUCUUGCUGAAGGACUCGAAGCUAUCACCACCUAUUUCCAGAAACCUGUCUCCUGUGGUCCAUUUUCACUUUGAAACCAAAGACAACUACCAGUCAGUUGUUCUGCUUUGACAAUGCCCCGAGUCAAAGAGAAGAGACAUCGUCAAAGAGAAGAGACGUAGUCAAAACAGUGGGAUUGAUCUACCACCAGCUCCAUCUUAGUAUGGUGUCAGCCUGCAGAAACAUGCCUCUGAGAGGCAGUACACAAGUACAAAAGCAAUCCCAGAUGCUCUCAAAUGGAGAGGUGUCCUCUCCUAGUGAACCAUACUGUGUAUGGAAGGAAGGUGAGAAGAUGGGAAAGGAACAGCUUUGAAUAUGUUCUUCCUGCUCUCAUAAACACCUACUUUUGCUUGUGUGAAAAGGAGUUAAAUUAUUCAGAAAAAAAUGAAGCAGGAAGAUUGAAACAAGGGCUUUCGAUUCAUGGAAAUGUAAUUGUUAAGUCUUUGCAUGGCCCAACAGAAAUGAUCACUAGCAUGUCUCAGAAUGUAAAAUACAAAUACAGUCACAAUAGAAUGAACAAAAAUAUUACUUCACAAUGACAUUUUUUCCCAUGAAAUUGAUUACACGACAAAGAUGAUGUUCUUCAUUCUACUAAUUUUGAAAUAAAGAUCCACAAUUUCAUGAAAAACAAAAUAAAAUCAGAAGAGAA